AACGAACGCUGGCGGCAGGCCUAACACAUGCAAGUCGAGCGGUAAGGCCCUUUCGGGGGUACACGAGCGGCGAACGGGUGAGUAACACGUGGGUGACCUGCCCUCAGCUCUGGGAUAAGCCUGGGAAACCGGGUCUAAUACUGGAUAUGACUCCAUGACGCAUGUUGUGGGGUGGAAAGCCUUGUGCGGCUGAGGAUGGGCCCGCGGCCUAUCAGCUUGUUGGUGGGGUGANGGCCUACCAAGGCGACGACGGGUAGCCGGCCUGAGAGGGCGACCGGCCACACUGGGACUGAGACACGGCCCAGACUCCUACGGGAGGCAGCAGUGGGGAAUCUUGGACAAUGGGCGCAAGCCUGAUCCAGCCAUGCCGCGUGGGUGAAGAAGGCCUCGGUUGUAA
rnacentral:rRNA from 1 species